CUGGGGUCCCCUUCCACACUGUGGAAGCUUUGUUCUUUUGUUCUUUGCAAUAAAUCUUGCUAUUGCUCACUCUUUGGGUCCACACUGCUUUUAUGAGCUGUCACACUCACAGGGAAGGUCUGCAGCUUCACUCCUGAAGCCAGCGAGACCACGAGCCCACCAGGAGGAACGAACAACUCCAGACGCGCCGCCUUAAGAGCUGUAACACUCACCGUGAAGGUCUGCAGCUUCACUCCUGAGCCAGCGAGACCACCAAACCCACCAGAAUGAAGAAACUCCGAACACAUCCGAACAUCAGAAGGGACAGACUCCAGAUGCGCCACCUUAAGAGCUGUAACACUCACUGCGAGGGUCCGCGGCUUCAUUCUUGAAGUCAGACCAAGAACCCACCAAUUCCGGACACGGAAGGACUUUAAUAUUAAAGAGUGCUAUGGUUAAAAUCAGUUCAAUUAAAAGUGGAUAUUCAAGCUCUAACAGCCUGGACUCCCUGGGAAAAACAGGAGGCACCAGAGAACCCUUUGCUGGCCCUGUUCUUCCAAGCGCUCCACCCUAAAGCUGGUAAUCCAAUUAAAAAACUUAAAAACUGGCAAAUGAAAAAUCUUACAACCCCUGUGGUGAUCUGCUUCUGUCUUUCUGUGUAGCUACAUAUGUGUUGUGUGUAACGUUUAUAUUUUUAAAAACUAAUUAAUUGGCUUAAACAAAAAUAAGCACUUACAUCAAAUAUUUUGAAACCAAAAUGAAAACCGUAAUGUCUUUUAGUUCAUGUAACUUUAGAAAUCUUUGGGAAAUAAAAACAGCUUUAAUAAUUGUUGAUAAAACCAUUUAGUCUAAAGUAUGCAGGUCAGAUAUUAAGUUGGCUAAAUGCUUUGAGGUUGUAAACUGCUUCUUUAACUUUUAAAAUUUGUUCAAUUUAUGUACCUUAAAGCCAUUAGAUUCUAGAUAAGGCCUGGGGGGACAUGUAGAAUUAGCCAUGCCCCCUAGCUGUACAAAGAUUAUAAAGAAAGGUUAUAUGAGAAAGCAUCUUGUAUGGUAAAUUCUUGUCCUAAAGUAAAAUAACUGGUUGUUUAAAAGGAGGGAUGUUUACGGCAAGUCAGAAAGUCGAAAAAUGCCUCAUGUGGUCUGUGUAAGUCGUGAAAGGAUUUGUGAAAGGGAAUUUGUGCGAGAAAUGUUCUACAAUUCAAAGGUGGUUGGGCUUCUUAAAUGCUUCGUAAAAUGCCACCAUGACGCUUACCAUACAAUUUGCCUGCUUCAGUAAGAUAGGGCCUGGGGACAUGUGGAGUUAGUCACGUCCCUAGCUAUGCUGGAGAGUCAGCCCUUAUCUGUACUUCUGCCUGGUAUGUCCUAGGCUAGGCUUCACAUCUAGUAGACAAUUAAAAUUGCUCACUAACCAGCGUUUUCACCAAAAGUAAGCGUCGCUAAAAGUUAACAUUGUAACACGUAAUUGAGACUAUUGAAAAAAACAGCUUUACAUGUAAGGUGUGUAAGGAAAGUAGAAUGUACUUUUGGUACAAGGUUAUAAGAAGGCAUGGGAAUGUGAAUUUUUUUGCUUAAAGGGAUAAAGAAUUGUUGUAAGUUAGUAGAAUAAAGGUAAAGGUUUGAACAGUUGUGGAAAGUUUGUAAAAACUUAAUUGUAAAAGAGAUUCUGUGUGUGUGCACUGGCUAAAUUAAAGGGAUAUUAUUCCAUUUUUAUAUAAAUUAAACAUUGAAAUAAAAGCACAACAGGUUUUUCUUAGAGCAAAAAAACUGCUUAUAAUCUGCUCUUUAACAAAAACUUGUAAAGGGUUAUAAAAGGUUUAUGAGAAUCUUACCUUAUGGUCAAACUGAUUAAGAUUGGACAUAUUUUUAUAAAUAAAACCUUAUUUAUAAGGUUUUAUUAAGAAUUGGGUUUGGCAUCAAUAGUGCACUAAUGCAACAGUGACAUUUGGCUUAUUUUGGUACAAAAAUCCUACAGGAAGCCCUGUCCUGUAUGGUUUUAUCUGGGCAGUAUUUGUAUAAAUGUGUUAUUGGUAUAUAUUCCAAAAUUAUGGGCAACUCCUAUAAUCCAGAUAUGACACUGUACAUUAGCAGUAAUAAUUAUAAUCGUUACCUAAAAUCAUUGUAUACCAUAGUGGUAACAAAUUUCCUUGUCAAUUGUUUAUUUGACUGUGGCUGCCCUAAAACAUUUUGUCGGCCACAGACAAUUGUUACCUUGUUUUAGUCCUCUUUAAAAGGUGGUUUAAAAUCAAUUAUAGAACUCUAACAGGCUUUUUUGUUGUUGUUGUUGUUUGUUUGUUUGUUUUUCUGAGACAGAAUCUUACUCUGUUGCCUAGGCUGGAGUACAGUGGCGUGAUCUCAGCUCACUGCAACCUCCGCCUCCCAGGUUCAAGCAAUUCUCCUGCCUCAGCCUCCUGAGUAUCUGGGAUUAGAGGCAUGCACCACCAUGCCUCACUAAUUUUUUUUUUGUAUUUUUUGUACAGGUAGAGUUUCACCAUGUUGGACAGUCUGGUCUUGAACUCUUGACCUCAAGUGAUCCCCCUGCCUCGGCCUCCCAGAGUGCUGGGAUUACAGGUGUGAGCCACCAUGCCUGGCCUAACAGGCAUUCUUAAAUGUAGGUUUUCUAAUAACUUUGGAAAUUGUAACAUCAGAAUAGAGGAAAAACUUGCAGGACUCUCAUGGAGAGCUAAAAUGUUCAUAAAUAUCAAGCAAAACAGGAGUUAACUAAAUUCACUAAACCAAUAAAAAAACGGAAGUAAUCUUUUAAACUUUGCUUAAAACAUUGCUGAUCCUUUGUUUUGUUUUUCAAAGUCAAGGAAACUUUUCUUUUGAGCUGUUUACAGCUUUUAACAGUUAAGUAUGUAUCCACCUAUAAACAAAAUGUGGAGCAUAUUUGUUUCUCUCUACCUAAUUUCUCCAGAAUUUGUAAACUAGUUGUGAGUAUUCUUAACUUAUGGCAAUAUAGUUAUUUGCAUAACUAUAUUUGCAAUAAGAAACUGUUUUCUUUUGUAACAGGACACAAUGGGAGAAAUUGGUGAUUUUUGUCAAGGCUUUGCCUGGAAUAGUGUGUUUUCCUUUAGGGAAUUAAACUUGACUUAUAGAGCCAAUAAAAUCUCUUUAGGGAACUGACCUUAUACCUUUCCAAAACAGUCCCUGUGCAGGGUUUCUAACCUGUGGUGAGUAAAGAAUGUCACUUUCUGACAGGUCCAGGAGCCCCAGGUUAUCUUGGGACAUCAAGAGGAAAAAAAAUUUACCUAACUCAUAGAUAUACAAAGGUACAAACCCAUGGCUGGGCUCAGCUUUAAAAAAGUCUUAUCUGAGAUUCCUUAUGAAACAGAGUUCCAUCAAAGCCAAUUUAAAAACAGCUUAUGUGAAAAAUAAUUAUUCUUGCUGCACUUUAUACAAAUAAUCAGGCCAAAUAUAAUAAAGCAAAUCAGUCUUACCAUAAUUUGUCUUUAGUAAAAAUGGAAAACUGGAGAGAGAAAUAUUAUGUUUCAAGAACUAUGGUGCACUUGUUGUUAAAUUCUAGUCUUAUCUGUUGUUUUUAAGUUUGUUUCUGCAAUUUAGGCUAACCCUGCUUAUUCCUGUGAAUCAACCAGUGAUCUCUGACUGUUGCUCAGAAGAAACAAGAGGUAUUGGGGAACCUGCCCCAAUAUUCACGUAGGUUCUUUUCUAUUUUCCCUAAGCAUCAGCCGGCUUGAGAAAUAAAGGGACAGAGUACAAAAGAGAGAAAUUUUAAAGCUGGGCGUCCGGGGGAGACAUCACAUAUCGGUAGGUUCCGUGAUGCCCCACAAGCCGCAAAAACCAGCAAGUUUUUAUUAGGGAUUUUCAAAAGGGGAGGGAGUGCGCGAAUAGGUGUGGGUCACAGACAUCAAGUACUUUACACAGUAAUAGAAUAUCACAAGGCAAAUGGAGGCAGGGCGAGAUCACAGGACCACAGGACCGAGGCAAAAUUAAAAUUGCUAAUGAAGUUUCAGGCACCACUGUCAUUGAUAACAUCUUAUCAGGAGACAGGGUUUUGAGAGCAACCGGUCUGACCAAAAUUAUUAGGUGGGAAUUUCCUCUUCCAAAUAAGCCUGGGAGUGCUAUGGGAGACUGGAGUCUAUUUCAUCUCUGCAGUUUCAACCAUAAGAGACAGGCACACCUGGGGGUGGGGGGGGGCGCCGUUCAUAGGCCUAUACCUCCAGGUGCAUAUUCUUUUUCUCAGGGAUGUUCCUUGCUGAGAAAAAGAAUUCAGUGAUAUUCCUCCCAUUUGCUUUUGAAAGAAGAGAAAUAUGGCUCUAUUCUGCCCAGCUCACUGGCAGUCAGAGUUUAGGGUUAUCUCUCUUAUUCCCUGAACAAUUGUUGUUAUCCUGUUCUUUUUUCAAGGUGCCCACAUUUCAUAUUGCUCAAACACACACGCUGUACAAUUUGUGCAGUUAAUGCAAUUAUUACAGGGUCCUGAGGCGACAUACAUCCUCCUCAGCUGACAGGAUUAAAAGAUUAAAGCAAAGACAGGCAUAGGAAAUCACUAGGGUAUUGAUUGGGGAAGUGAUAAGUGUCCAUGAAAUCUUUACAAUUUAUGUUUAGAGAUUGCAGUAAAGGCAGGCAUAAGAAAUUAUAAAAGUAUUAGUUUUAUAAAAACUAAUAAAUGUCCAUGAAAUCUUCACAAUCCACGUUCUUCUGCCAUGGCUUCAGCCAGUCCCUCCAUUUUGGGUCCCUGACUUCCCACAACAAAGAGGGAUGGGCAAUGUAAAACUCUGAAUUGGUAUUCUAAUUCUGGGCACAUGACAAUCAGCUAACAACCCCAUACCAGCUUAGUUCCAACAGUUGCCCAGUUCAUGAAAAGCCUUCUAAUUAUGUUUACUUGGAAUAACUUUACUUAUUUUGCUUUACUCUUGGGGAAUAUAUUGCUGUUAUACUCUUUGUAUAGAAAUACAGGACAAGCUUACUGAAUGUUUUCUUAAAUUAAACACAUAUUAAUCUUCCAGAUAUCACCUUUCGUCAAAACUCAAGACUUAUUAAUGGACUUACCACACUGAUGCUUUCUGACUGAGCUCCUCUCUACCCUGAUUGCAAGAGACCCUCAUAGUUAGAGAGGAAUAUCAUCACCCCUAUUCAGCCUGAAGAAGUUACAGAAGAUGGAUCUCCAUCCCUCUGCAACCUUUAGGAAUAAGUGUUCUCUUAUAAAAGGAAGGGGGGAAAUAUCAGAGGCAUGUGAACCAGAGCAACUCCAUCUUAAACAGGAACUGGGUCAAAUGAGGCUAAAACCUACUGGGCUGCAUUCCCAGAUGUUUAAGGCAUACUAAGUCACAGGAUGAGAUAGGAGGUCAGCACAAAAUACAGGUCACAAAGACUUUGCUGAUAAAACAGUUUGCAGUAAAGGAGCCAGCCAAAACCCACCAAAACCAAAAUGACCAUGAGAGUGACCUCUGGUCAUCCUCACUGCUACACUCCCAUCAGCGCCAUAACAGUUUAUAAAUGCCAUGGCAAUGUCAGGAAGUUACCCCAUACCGUUUGAAAAGAGGAGGCAUGAAUAAUCCACCCCCUUGUUUAGCAUAUCAUCAGGAAAUAACCAUGAAAAUGGGCAGCCAGCAGCCCUCAGGGUGGCUCUAUGGAGUAGCCAUUCUUUUAUUCCUUUACUUUUUUCUUUUUUUGAGGUGGAGUCUUGCUCCAUCACCCAGACUGGGGUGCAGUGGCGCGAUCUCGGCUCACUGCAAGCUCCGCCUCCCAGGUUCACGCCAUUCUCCUGCCUCAGCCUCCCGAGUAGCUGGGACUACAGGCACCUGCCACCAUGCCUGGCUAAUUUUUUGUACUUUUAGUAGAUGUGGGAUUUCACCGUGUUAGCCAGGAUGGUCUUGAUCUCCUGACCUCGUGAUCCACCUGCCUUGGCCUCCCAAAGUGCUGGGAUUACAGGCGUGAGCCACCGCGCCCAGCCUCCUUUACUUUCUUAAUCAACUUGCUUUCACUUUGCACUGUGGACUCAUCCCAAAUUCUUUCUUGCUCUAGAUCCAAGAACCCUCUCUUGGGAUCUGGACUGGGGCCCCUUUCCUGUAACACCCGAGAUUGCACAGAAAUCGUCAAAUCAGGUUUAGCCUAAAGCCACGUCUUUACAUAUUUUAAGUUUGGCCUAAAGGUUUUUCUGUACAUCAUGAACUGUAACAGGGGGAGGUGUAAACAGACCAUAGCCUACACUUGUGCCAGUCACUGAGUUUUGGCCAACCAAAUGUAGCCAACUGUUCAAACCAUGUGCAAAUAAGGCAAACACCAAGCUGUAACCCUCCAGCUGUUUCUGUGCCUCACUUCCAUUUUCUGUAAGUCACUUUCUUUUUUCUGUCCAUAAAUCUUCCACCCCAUGGCUGCACUGGAGUCUCUGAGCCUACUCUGACUGGAAGCUUGCUGGAUUCUCAAAUUGUUCAUUGCUCAAUUAAAUUUUAUUUGGCUGAAGUUUUUAUUUUGUCAAUAUUUCAAAGUAAAAUGUUUCUCUAAAAUCAGAGCUAUUUGUAGAAAUACAAAUAAAAAUGGAAAACUUUUUUCUUGUCAGUUUUUGUUAGCUUUUUAUUAAUAAUUUAUUCAAUUUAGCUAAAUUUCCAAUUUUGGGGCAUACAGUUGUAAAAUUUUCUUAUGUUUUAAAUCUC
rnacentral:lncRNA from 1 species